GAUGAACGCUGGCGGCGUGCCUAAUACAUGCAAGUCGAGCGAACAGACGAGGAGCUUGCUCCUCUGACGUCAGCGGCGGACGGGUGAGUAACACGUGGAUAACCUACCUAUAAGACUGGGAUAACUUCGGGAAACCGGAGCUAAUACCGGAUAAUAUAUUGAACCGCAUGGUUCAAUAGUGAAAGACGGUUUUGCUGUCACUUAUAGAUGGAUCCGCGCCGCAUUAGCUAGUUGGUAAGGUAACGGCUUACCAAGGCGACGAUGCGUAGCCGACCUGAGAGGGUGAUCGGCCACACUGGAACUGAGACACGGUCCAGACUCCUACGGGAGGCAGCAGUAGGGAAUCUUCCGCAAAGGGCGAAAGCCUGACGGAGCAACGCCGCGUGAGUGAUGAAGGUCUUCGGAUCGUAAAACUCUGUUAUUAGGGAAGAACAAAUGUGUAAGUAACUAUGCACGUCUUGACGGUACCUAAUCAGAAAGCCACGGCUAACUACGUG
rnacentral:rRNA from 1 species